rnacentral:tRNA from 1 species
GCCCCUGUAGUCCAAUUGGCAGAGACACCCGGCUUAAACCCGGCACAGUGAGGGUUCGAUCCCCUCUGGGGGCA